CAAGGGAUCCUAGUACGGCGAGUGAAGAGGGAAGAGCCCAAGAUUGAAAGCUGGCGUCUUCGGCGUCCGCAUUGUAAUCUCAAGAAGUGUUUUCCGCUUCGGACCAAGCCUAAGUCCCUUGGAAAAGGGCAUCAUAGAGGGUGAUAAUCCCGUACAUGGCUUGGAGCGCCCGAAGCUUUGUGAUACGCUUUCUAAGAGUCGAGUUGUUUGGGAAUGCAGCUCAAAAUGGGUGGUAAAUGCCAUCUAAGGCUAAAUAUUGGGGAGAGACCGAUAGCGAACAAGUACAGUGAUGGAAAGAUGAAAAGAACUUUGAAAAGAGAGUUAAACAGUACGUGAAAUUGCCAAAAGGGAAGGGUAGGAGGUCAGAGAUGCGGCCUGGGAUUCAGCCUUGCUUUUGCUUGGUGUUUUUCCCAGAUUGCAGGCCAACGUCGGUUUUGGGCACUGGAGAAGGGUAGGAGGAACGUGGCACCUCUCGGGGUGUGUUAUAGCCUCCUACUGGAUACAGCGACCGAGACCGAGGACAGCAGCGUACUCGCAAGAGCGGGCCUUCGGGCACCUUUACGCUUAGGGCGUUGGCAUAAUGGCCCUCUACCACCCGUCUUGAAAAAAAGGACCAAAAA
rnacentral:rRNA from 1 species